GACGAACGCUGGCGGCGUGCUUAACACAUGCAAGUCGAACGGUGAAGGGACCGGUUUUUGCUGGUUCUGGAUGAGUGGCGAACGGGUGAGUAACACGUGAGUAACCUGCCCCCUUCUUCUGGAUAACCGCAUGAAAGUGUGGCUAAUACGGGAUAUUCUGCGCCUGCUGCAUGGUGGGUGUGGGAAAGAUAUUGUUUCGGUGGGGGAUGGGCUCGCGGCCUAUCAGCUUGUUGGUGGGGUGAUGGCCUACCAAGGCGGUGACGGGUAGCCGGCCUGAGAGGGUGGACGGUCACACGGGGACUGAGACACGGCCCAGACUCCUACGGGAGGCAGCAGUGGGGAAUAUUGCACAAUGGGCGCAAGCCUGAUGCAGCGACGCCGCGUGAGGGAUGGAGGCCUUCGGGUUGUAAACCUCUUUCGCCAGUGAAGCAGGCCUGUCCCUUUUGUGGGUGGGUUGACGGUAGCUGGAGAAGAAGCGCCGGCUAACUACGUG
rnacentral:rRNA from 1 species